UAAUACGGAGGAUCCAAGCGUUAUCCGGAAUCAUUGGGUUUAAAGGGUCCGUAGGCGGUUUGGUAAGUCAGUGGUGAAAGCCCGCAGCUCAACUGUGGAACGGCCAUUGAUACUGCCAGACUUGAAUUACAAGGAAGUAACUAGAAUAUGUAGUGUAGCGGUGAAAUGCUUAGAUAUUACAUGGAAUACCAAUUGCGAAGGCAGGUUACUACUUGUGGAUUGACGCUGAUGGACGAAAGCGUGGGGAGCGAACAGGAUUAGAUACCCUGGUAGUCCACGCCGUAAACGAUGGAUACUAGCUGUUGGGGGCAACUUCAGUGGCUAAGCGAAAGUGAUAAGUAUCCCACCUGGGGAGUACGUUCGCAAGAAUGAAACUCAAAUGAAUUGACGG
rnacentral:rRNA from 2 species